AAUCGAAUAAUCACGUAGUAUCCGAUCUACGUAGAUAUAACUCUCUCUCUUUUUUGUUUAAUUGUAUUUCAAUAACAUAGAAAAUCACUUACUCUUUUCUUUUCAGAAAAUCUCAGUUUUCUUCGAAGUCGCUAAUUUUUGUUUUGGUUUAACAUGUAGACGUAGUGGGCAGCGACGUAGGGAGAGAGAAGAAAGACACGUGGAGGUGAGUGGUAUGAUUUGGAGACCGCUCCUACUUGGGCAUGAUGUGAUCAGAAAAAGAGCCCCACGAACGUUUUCAUCUCAUUAAAACUAUAAUCAAUCUCUCUGGGAACUUGGGCCAUUCCCUCCAACAACUAACACCAUCGACACAUACUUUUUGCUGAGUUAUUUUGUUUAUAUAUUAAUUAUGAUUAUCAAUGUAUUAAUCUUUUGAUUAUGUUUGUCAAGAUAUUUUUUUUUGUGUGCAAAGUUUGUCAAAAUAUUUGAGUCACCACUUUUAUUGUGGAUCUUCACAAGUUCGCAUACUAUCCCACUUAUCAUUAAAACUAACGGAAACUUUUGUAGUAAUAGAUUAUC